UUUUACCGCCAUGCCACCCUGUUCACAUCUGAUUUUGUCUGAGCUCAGAAGCUAAGCAGGCUCAGGCCUGGUUAGUACUUGGAUGGGGACCACCUGGGGAAAAUCAGGUGCUGUAGCUC
rnacentral:rRNA from 1 species